rfam:Gossypium arboreum cultivar AKA8401 contig_34482_3, whole genome shotgun sequence.
UGUUAAAACUUUCACCCACUUUUAUUGUUAAAAACUGGUGUGAUAAAUGAAAUAACCAAUUAUAUAUGGCAUGACACGUAUACCUUAUGUUGACGUAUAAGGACCAGUUUUUAACGGUAAAAAUAGAUAAAAUUUUUAACA